rnacentral:rRNA from 1 species
AUUGAACGCUAGCGGGAUGCCUUACACAUGCAAGUCGAACGAGUGGCGAACGGGGGAGUAAUGUAUCGGAACGUGCCCAGUAGCGGGGGAUAACUACGCGAAACGUAGCUAAUACCGCAUACUAUUGCAGCAGGCGAUAUCGGUUUAGCUAGUUGGUGGGGUUACGGCUCUCCGUGGCGAAGACCCGGAGCUGGUUUGAGAAUACGACCAGCCAGAGUGUGACUGAGACACGGCCCGACCUCCUACGGGAGGCAGCAGUGGGGAAGUUUGGACGAUUGGGGAAACCCUGAUCCAGCCGUCCCGCGUGUACGAUGAGGGCCUUCGGGUUGUAAAGCAAUUUUGGCAGGUAAGCGGUACCUGCAGAAUAAGCACCGGCUAACUACGUGCCAGCAACCGCGGUAAUAC